AAGUGUUAAAAAGAAAAAUUUGUUGAUCUUGUUAAAUUGUCCGUCUUAUUUUGAUUUCCGAACGGUUAUUAGCUUGAAACUUGGACGUAUGAGAGUAAAAGUUAACGGCAGCCACUGUAAGUUUUCUUUUAAAUUUAUUCACUAAAUA